rnacentral:rRNA from 1 species
GAUGAACGCUGGCGGCGUGCCUAAUACAUGCAAGUCGAGCGAACGGACGAGAAGCUUGCUUUUCUGAUGUUAGCGGCGGACGGGUGAGUAACACGUGGAUAACCUACCUAUAAGACUGGGAUAACUUCGGGAAACCGGAGCUAAUACCGGAUAAUAUUUUGAACCGCAUGGUUCAAUAGUGAAAGACGGUCUUGCUGUCACUUAUAGAUGGAUCCGCGCUGCAUUAGCUAGUUGGUAAGGUAACGGCUUACCAAGGCAACGAUGCGUAGCCGACCUGAGAGGGUGAUCGGCCACACUGGAACUGAGACACGGUCCAGACUCCUACGGGAGGCAGCAGUAGGGAAUCUUCCGCAAUGGGCGAAAGCCUGACGGAGCAACGCCGCGUGAGUGAUGAAGGUCUUCGGAUCGUAAAACUCUGUUAUUAGGGAAGAACAUAUGUGUAAGUAACUAUGCACGUCUUGACGGUACCUAAUCAGAAAGCCACGGCUAACUACGUG